rnacentral:rRNA from 1 species
AUAAGUUAAUAAGGGCACACGGGGGAUGCCUUGGCUUCGAGAGGCGAAGAAGGACGUGAUAAGCUGCGAUAAGCUGCGGGUAUUGGCAAAUACGAAUUGAUCCGCAGAUUUCCGAAUGGGGAAACCCGGCACAUUGAAGAUGUGUCACUCGAAAGAGAGCAAACGCGCUGAACUGAAACAUCUAAGUAGGCGCAGGAAGAGAAAACAAAAGUGAUUUCCUGAGUAGUGGCGAGCGAAACGGAAACAGCCCAAACCGUCAUUGUUUCGGCAGUGGCGGGGUUGUAGGACUGCAAGAUUGACUAUACAGCUAUAGUUGAAGCAAUUGGAAAGUUGCACCGUAGAGGGUUAAAGUCCCGUAAACGAAAUAGUUGUAUUACAUAGCAGUAUCCUGAGUAGGGCGGGACAUGUGAAAUCCUGUCUGAAUCAGCCGGAACCAUCCGGUAAGGCUAAAUACUCCUCGAAGACCGAUAGUGAACGAGUACUGUGAAGGAAAGGUGAAAAGAACCCUGAACAAGGGAGUGAAAAAGACCCUGAAACCGUGUGUCUACAAGCGGUCGAAGCCUUUCGGGGCGACGGCGUGCCUUUUGCAUAAUGAUCCUACGAGUUACUCCUCAAUGGCCAGGUUAAGGAUUUCAGAUCCGGAGCCGAAGCGAAAGCGAGUCUUAACAGGGCGCUAAGUCAUUGGGGGUAGACGCGAAACCUUGUGAUCUACCCAUGGCCAGGUUGAAGUUUUGGUAACACAAAAUGGAGGACCGAACCGAUAAGCGUUGAAAAGCUUCCGGAUGAGCUGUGGGUAGGGGUGAAAGGCCAAUCAAACUGGGAAAUAGCUCGUACUCCCCGAAAUGCAUUUAGGUGCAGCGUUGUGGUAGAGUUUUAUAGAGGUAGAGCUACUGAUUGGACUAGGGGGCUUCACCGCCUACCGAAUCCUGACAAACUCCGAAUGCUAUAAAAUAUACACAGCAGUGAGGGCACGGGUGCUAAGGUCCGUGUCCGAGAGGGAAAGAACCCAGACCAUCGGCUAAGGUCCCCAAAUGUAUACUAAGUUGAAUAAACGUUGUGCGGUUGCAUAGACAGCUAGGAUGUUGGCUUGGAAGCAGCCAUUCAUUUAAAGAGUGCGUAACAGCUCACUAGUCGAGCGACCGUGCGUGGAUAAUAAUCGGGCAUUAAGUAUACUACCGAAGCUGUGGAUUAGUCGUAAGACUACUGGUAGGGGAGCAUUCCAGUCAGCGUUGAAGGUGCAUGGUGAUGUGUGCUGGAGCGGCUGGAAACGCAAAUGUAGGAAUGAGUAACGAUAAUGCAGGCGAGAAACCUGCACACCGAUAGACUAAGGUUUCCUUGGCGACGCUAAUCGUCCGAGGGUUAGUCGGGACCUAACGCAAACCCGAAAGGGGUAGUGGAUGGACAACGGGUUAAUAUUCCCGUACUUCUUAUAACUGCGAUGGGGUGACGGAGUGAUGAAAGGACCGCGAACUGACGGAAUAGUUCGUUGAAGGUUGUAGGUAUAGGACUGGUAGGCAAAUCCGCCGGUCCUGCCGAAUUCCGAUAGUACCAUAAAGCUUCGGCUGCGUGGAUAGUGUCCCUAAGGGCUUCCGAGAAAACCCUCUAAGCUUCAGGUUAUAAGAACCCGUACCGCAAACCGACACAGGUAGUCAAGGAGAGAAUCCUAAGGUGCUCGAGUGAUUCAUGGCUAAGGAACUAGGCAAAAUGGUCUCGUAACUUCGGGAGAAGAGACGCCUGCGCAAGCAGGCCGCAGUGAAUAGGCCCAGGCGACUGUUUAUCAAAAACACAUGGCUUUGCAAAAUCGUAAGAUGACGUAUAAGGCCUGACACCUGCCCGGUGCUGGAAGGUUAAGAGGAGAUGUUAGUUUCGGCGAAGCAUUGAAUUGAAGCCCCAGUAAACGGCGGCCGUAACUAUAACGGUCCUAAGGUAGCGAAAUUCCUUGUCGGGUAAGUUCCGACCUGCACGAAUGG